ACGGGAGGCAGCAGUGGGGAGUAUUGGGCAAUGGGCGCAAGCCUGACCCAGCAACGCCGCGUGAAGGAUUAAGGUCUUCGGAUUGUAAACUUCUUUAAUCGGGGAAGAAAAAAAUGACCUACCCGAAGAAUAAGCCACGGCUAACUACGUGCCAGCAGCCGCGGUAAUACGUAGGUGACAAGCGUUAUCCGGAUUUACUGGGUGUAAAGGGCGUGUAGGCGGUUUGGCAAGUCAGAAGUGAAAUUCCCGGGCUUAACUUGGGCGCUGCUUCUGAAACUGCUUUACUUGAGUACUGGAGAGGAUAGUGGAAUUCCUAGUGUAGCGGUAAAAUGCGCAGAUAUUAGGAGGAACACCGGUGGCGAAGGCGGCUAUCUGGACAGUAACUGACGCUGAGGCGCGAAAGCACGGGGAGCAAACAGGAUUAGAUACCCUGGUA
rnacentral:rRNA from 1 species